CUGUAAGCUGUGGAAAAGAAAAUAACAAGGAUUUCCUCAGUAACGGCGAGUGAAGCGGGAUCAGCCCAGCACCGAAUCCCCGCUCCGAGAGGGGCGCGGGAAAUGUGGUGUACAGGAAGCCGAUUGGCGGCGUGGUCUGGCGCUCGAGUCCUCCUGAUCGUGGCCACACCCAGAGCUGGUGUCAGGCCCCUGGCGGCGCCGGACUCGCUGCCUUCGAGCUUCCUCGGAGUCGGGUUGCUUGAGAAUGCAGCCCAAAGCGGGUGGUAAACUCCACCUA
rnacentral:rRNA from 1 species